rnacentral:rRNA from 1 species
GAAGGUGGCCUGUGAGGGUUGCUGGAGGUAUCAGAAGUGCGAAUGCUGACAUAAGUAACGAUAAAGCGGGUGAAAAGCCCGCUCGCCGGAAGACCAAGGGUUCCUGUCCAACGUUAAUCGGGGCAGGGUGAGUCGACCCCUAAGGCGAGGCCGAAAGGCGUAGUCGAUGGGAAACGGGUUAAUAUUCCCGUACUUGGUGUUACUGCGAAGGGGGGACGGAGAAGGCUAUGUUGGCCGGGCGACGGUUGUCCCGGUUUAAGCGUGUAGGCUGGUUUUCCAGGCAAAUCCGGAAAAUCAAGGCUGAGGCGUGACGACGAGGCACUACGGUGCUGAAGCAACAAAUGCCCUGCUUCCAGGAAAAGCCUCUAAGCAUCAGGUAACACGAAAUCGUACCCCAAACCGACACAGGUGGUCAGGUAGAGAAUACCAAGGCGCUUGAGAGAACUCGGGUGAAGGAACUAGGCAAAAUGGUGCCGUAACUUCGGGAGAAGGCACGCUGACAUGUAGGUGAAGUGAUUUACUCAUGGAGCUGAAGUCAGUCGAAGAUACCAGCUGGCUGCAACUGUUUAUUAAAAACACAGCACUGUGCAAACACGAAAGUGGACGUAUACGGUGUGACGCCUGCCCGGUGCCGGAAGGUUAAUUGAUGGGGUCAGCGCAAGCGAAGCUCCUGAUCGAAGCCCCGGUAAACGGCGGCCGUAACUAUAACGGUCCUAAGGUAGCGAAAUUCCUUGUCGGGUAAGUUCCGACCUGCACGAAUGGCGUAAUGAUGGCCAGGCUGUCUCCACCCGAGACUCAGUGAAAUUGAACUCGCUGUGAAGAUGCAGUGUACCCGCGGCAAGACGGAAAGACCCCGUGAACCUUUACUAUAGCUUGACACUGAACAUUGAGCCUUGAUGUGUAGGAUAGGUGGGAGGCUUUGAAGUGUGGACGCCAGUCUGCAUGGAGCCGACCUUGAAAUACCACCCUUUAAUGUUUGAUGUUCUAACGUGGACCCGUGAUCCGGGUUGCGGACAGUGUCUGGUGGGUAGUUUGACUGGGGCGGUCUCCUCCUAAAGAGUAACGGAGGAGCACGAAGGUUGGCUAAUCCUGGUCGGACAUCAGGAGGUUAGUGCAAUGGCAUAAGCCAGCUUGACUGCGAGCGUGACGGCGCGAGCAGGUGCGAAAGCAGGUCAUAGUGAUCCGGUGGUUCUGAAUGGAAGGGCCAUCGCUCAACGGAUAAAAGGUACUCCGGGGAUAACAGGCUGAUACCGCCCAAGAGUUCAUAUCGACGGCGGUGUUUGGCACCUCGAUGUCGGCUCAUCACAUCCUGGGGCUGAAGUAGGUCCCAAGGGUAUGGCUGUUCGCCAUUUAAAGUGGUACGCGAGCUGGGUUUAGAACGUCGUGAGACAGUUCGGUCCCUAUCUGCCGUGGGCGCUGGAGAACUGAGGGGGGCUGCUCCUAGUACGAGAGGACCGGAGUGGACGCAUCACUGGUGUUCGGGUUGUCAUGCCAAUGGCACUGCCCGGUAGCUAAAUGCGGAAGAGAUAAGUGCUGAAAGCAUCUAAGCACGAAACUUGCCCCGA